rnacentral:rRNA from 1 species
AGUGAACGCUGGCGGUAGGCCUAACACAUGCAAGUCGAACGGCAGCACAGUAAGAGCUUGCUCUUACGGGUGGCGAGUGGCGGACGGGUGAGGAAUACAUCGGAAUCUACUUUUUCGUGGGGGAUAACGUAGGGAAACUUACGCUAAUACCGCAUACGAUCUACGGGUGAAAGCAGGGGAUCUUCGGACCUUGCGCGAUUGAAUGAGCCGAUGGCGGACUAGCUAGUUGGCGGGGUAAAGGCCCACCAAGGCGACGAUCCGUAGCUGGUCUGAGAGGAUGAUCAGCCACACUGGAACUGAGACACGGUCCAGACUCCUACGGGAGGCAGCAGUGGGGAAUAUUGGACAAUGGGCGCAAGCCUGAUCCAGCCAUACCGCGUGAGUGAAGAAGGCCUUCGGGUUGUAAAGCCCUUUUGUUGGGAAAGAAAAGCAGCAGGUUAAUACCCCGCUGUUCUGACGGUACCCAAAGAAUAAGCACCGGCUAACUUCGUG